GAUGAACGCUGGCGGCGUGCCUAAUACAUGCAAGUCGAGCGAACAGACGAGGAGCUUGCUCCUCUGACGUUAGCGGCGGACGGGUGAGUAACACGUGGAUAACCUACCUAUAAGACUGGGAUAACUUCGGGACACCGGAGCUAAUACCGGAUAAUAUAUUGAACCGCAUGGUUCAAUAGUGAAAGACGGUUUUGCUGUCACUUCUAGAUGGAUCCGCGCCGCAUUAGCUAGUUGGUAAGGUAACGGCUUACCAAGGCAACGAUGCGUAGCUGACCUGAGAGGGUGAUCGGCCACACUGGAACUGAGACACGGUCCAGACUCCUACGAGAGGCAGCAGUAGGGAAUCUUCCGCAAUGGGCGAAAGCCUUACGGAGCAACGCCGCGUGAGUUAUGAAGGUCUUCGGAGCGUAAAACUCUGUUAUUAGGGAAGAACAAAUGUGUAAGUAACUAUGCACGUCUUGACGGUACCCAAUCAGAAAGCCACGGCUAACUACGUG
rnacentral:rRNA from 1 species